AACUGCUUUUAUAGGAUAAGUUCACAUAAGCAAAGUUGGGAGAUGUUUUGGGCUGAGCUAUGUACCCCCCGCCCCCCAUUUAAAUGUUGAAGUUUUAAUCUCAGUACCUCAAAUGUAAACGUGAUUGGAGAUAAAUUCUUUCAAGAGGAAAUGAAGUUAAAACAAGGUGUUUAGGGUGAACCCUUUACUAAUAUGUCUGGUAAUCUUUAUUUUUUUUUAAUUUUAUUUAUUUAUUUGAGAGAGAGAGUACAAGCAGGGGGAGGAGCAGAGGCAUUGGGAAAAGCAAACUCCCCACUGGGCAGGGUGCCUGAUGCGGGGCUUGAUCCCAGGACCCCAAGGUCAUGACCUGAGCUGAAGGCAGACGCUUAACCGACUGAGCCACCCAGGUGCCCUGGUGUCCUUAUAAGAGGAAGAAAUUGGGACCAAGAUAUGUACACACAGAGGAAAGAACAUGUGAAGAUACAGAAAAAGACAACUAUCUCCUAGCAAAGGAGACAGGCCUCAGAAGAAAUGAAUCCUGCUAACACCUUGAUUUCAGACUUCAGCCUCCAGUGCUGUGAGAAAUAAAUUUCAGUGGUUUAAGCCUCCUGGUCUGCGGUGCUUUGUUAUGGCAACUCUAGCUAACUAGUACAGGGAGCCAAAAAUACUUUUCUCAUCUGUAAAAUAAGAAUAGUUCUGUUUGUUUAUAAAGUGGUUAAGAGGAUGAGAUGAAAUGACACACGUAAAACAUUUGGAUUGACGUCUGAUAUUCAGUAAACAUGCAGUAACUGAUGGCUGUUAUUACCAUGAAGCCCAGCAACAGAAUUUUUGGGGCAAAUAUCUCCUGUAGACUCUGCAGAGAAUUAGCCAAAGACCUUUCUGAUCUCAGAGUGUCACUGAGCUUAAGGCACCAGAGGCUGCCUAGUGCCGGCUGGAGGUGUUUCUGGAGCUUGUACGGCUGCCGCCACCCAGCACCGAAAUGGAUCUUGCCUUGUCCCUGCACCCCCACGUUGGUAACGUCCAGUGGGUUGGGACCCCGAUGGGCAGAGCCUGCAUCCCUGCCUGAGCUGCAAGAGAGUCUGAGAAGGUGAGCCUCUGGCAUUUUCUUCCAUUGCAGGGUAAGGCAAGCUUUGUCUCAAAAGGUGAGGGCGUUCCUGAAAUGUAGGCAUUUAGAUGUGGGGCAGCCAAAAAGAAUAACAAAAAGAAUAAUUUCUGCUCAGAUUAACUUCUCAGGAAGUUGGGGAAGCAGAAAACAUGUUUAAUAGCAGUAAACGAAAACGAUUGAUUUGGGUCCAGGUUUGAUAUUUUCUUCCUGCUUUAGAAAAAUCCCAUCCUAACAGAUGCUCAGAUGCUGUUCGUGACCGUCUUUUUCUUUUUUUUUUUUAAUUGGAGUUCAAUUUGCCAACAUAUAACAUAUCACCCAGGGCUCAUCUGGUCAAUUGCCCCCCCCUCAGUGCCCAUCACUUAGUCCCCCAACCCUCCGCCCACCUCCCCUUCCACUACCCCUUGGAAGUUGGUUUCCCAGAGUUAGGAGUCUCUCAUGUUCUGUCUCCCUCACUGAUAUUUUCACUCAUUUUCUCUCCUUUCCACUUUAUUCCCUUUCACUAUUUUUUAUAUUCCCCAAAUAAA
rnacentral:lncRNA from 12 species